ensembl:lncRNA
CGCAAGUGUAUGUUCCUCGAUUCUUUGUCUCGUCACAACAAAGAUUUGGAGCGACGGACAUUAAAGCCCUCGGCGCAUCACAGCUCUCGGGUCUUGGACAAACCAUGUUAUAGCUCUUAGGCAAAUCAGUGUUACAGCUCUAUUUUAUUUAGAAGAUAGCAGGAGACUCCAUCCUCGAAGCUUGAGGGCAUGCCAACCCAAAGACUUGAAGAGAAGAGAGUGGAGGAGCAUGUGGUGGAGGGGGAGAGAGAGAGACAGCACGCACGCAGGAGAGAAGGAGAGGAAGAAAACGCUUUGGCUCCUCCUUUUAUAUGUUUUUUUUCUCCACCUGGGCCUGCCCUAUGCAAAUUGGGCUUAGCCAUGACUUCUGUUUGUUCUACCUGAAGUCUUCACUCUGGUCCUCAGACCUUCCUUUGACCUUCCUUGUCUUUUAGCCACCGCCAUUUUGGACUCCUUUUCCCUAUUCUACCUACCUAACAGAACUAAUCUGAGUCUAUAAGGGUAAACAAGAGUCUGCUACAUGGAAAGAUAUUUGAGGGAAUAGAGCUUUGAUGACCCACUAGUAAGGCUUGGCCAUAGAAUUCCUUUGGGGAACUGGCAAGAGACAUCAACUAGAUCUUCUGCCAGGGGCCUUGCCCAUCUUAUUGGGACUCUGUCUACGGGUAGUGGUGAGCCUGUGAGGUUUCGCCUUGGUUUCCUCUCAUCCAUAAGAUAAUGGCUUUGCCCCAGCUCAGGGAAUAUGCACCGAAGGGCUCAAAGGGAUCAGCCAGGGCCAAGGAUUAAGUGUGAAGGAGGAUUCUGGCAGUUGGGCUGAACAAAGACAUAAGACAUGUUUAAUACGCAGCAGGAUGCUUGGCAUAUAGAAAUGCUGCUGGGGGAAUUACAAAAUGUGAAUAUAUAUCAAGACACUGCCAAUUCCGAAGACGAAUGGCUCAGUUCAGCCCUAUUAAUAUGAUAUGAAUGACAAGCUUCAUUCUAGGUGGCAAGGCAAAGAGAAACAACAUCUAGAUUUUGCUACAUUAGCUCUCAUAGCCUAGAAAAGAUCUAGAGGCAUAAAC